CAGAAUAGUGGCGAAAGGGUGAGUAAUGCAAGGGUAACAUGGGCGGGAGCUGGGGAUAACUCCGAGAAAUCGGAGCUAAUACCGAAUGUGGUCCUUUGAUGGAAUCAUUAGAGGACUAAAGAUGGGGACCCUUCGGGGCCUUUCGCUUAAGGAGUGGCUCUUGUCCUAUUAGCCUGUUGGUGGGGUAACGGCUCACCAAAGCAAUAAUGGGUAGCUGGUCUGAGAGGAUGAGGAGGCACACUGGGACUGAGACACUGCCCAGACUCCUACGGGAGGCUGCAGUCGAGAAUCUUUCGCAAUGGGGGAAACCCUGACGAAGCGACGCCGCGUGGAGGAUGAAGGCCCUCGGGUUGUAAACUCCUGUCACUUGGGAUGAAAAGUGGGGCCAUUAAUACCGGUUCUGCCUGACAGUACCUUGAAAGGAAGCUCCGGCUAACUACGUGCCAGCAGCCGCGGUAAUACGUAGGGAGCAAGCGUUGUUCGGAUUUACUGGGCGUAAAGGGUGUGUAGGUAGCUUGGUAAGUCAGUUGUGAAAUCCUUACUGCUCAACAGAAGAAUUGCAAUCGAUACUACCAGGCUAGAGUUCGGUAGAGGAGAGCGGAAUUCUCGGUGUAGCGGUGAAAUGCGUAGAUAUCGAGAAGAA
rnacentral:rRNA from 1 species